ACUCCUACGGGAGGCAGCAGUGGGGAAUUUUGGACAAUGGGCGAAAGCCUGAUCCAGCAAUGCCGCGUGAGUGAAGAAGGCCUUCGGGUUGUAAAGCUCUUUUGUCAGGGAAGAAACGGUGAAAGCUGAUAUCUUUUGCUAAUGACGGUACCUGAAGAAUAAGCACCGGCUAACUACGUGCCAGCAGCCGCGGUAAUACGUAGGGUGCAAGCGUUAAUCGGAAUUACUGGGCGUAAAGCGUGCGCAGGCGGUUUUGUAAGUCUGAUGUGAAAUCCCCGGGCUCAACCUGGGAAUUGCAUUGGAGACUGCAAGGCUAGAAUCUGGCAGAGGGGGGUAGAAUUCCACGUGUAGCAGUGAAAUGCGUAGAUAUGUGGAGGAACACCGAUGGCGAAGGCAGCCCCCUGGGUCAAGAUUGACGCUCAUGCACGAAAGCGUGGGGAGCAAACAGGAUUAGAAACCCUUGUAGUCCCAUG
rnacentral:rRNA from 1 species